rnacentral:SRP_RNA from 1 species
CGGCAGGGAGGGCCCGGGGAGCCAGCCCUUCCCCACACCUCAAACGGGCUCUACGGAGGGGGCCAGUAACCCCGGGGGGUGGUGGGGGAAGAGUCGGAGGGUAAGCCGCUUAGACCCCCGUUGAGGCCUCGACCCACGGGGCCGGCGGAGGGCCGUCGAGCCUCCGUAGGGAGGCCACGUGGCCCUAACCAGGUGAACCUGGCCAGGCCCGGGAGGGAGCAACCUAAGCCUGGACGUUCGGCGCUCGUGGAGACCCGGGGCUGAGGGGGGAGGGCGGGACUGCCCUCCGGCCGCCCCUGCUCCCUCGGGGGGCUGCCG